rnacentral:sRNA from 1 species
UAGAAAAGAUGGCUGCUGUGCAAGUUGUCGGCUCCUUGCCUUCCGGGCAGCUGCGGGAGGCACCGCGGGAUGCAAUCCCUGAGGGAGGCAAUGGGUUUCGCCGCUUGUCUGCCAGGCUCUGCGCCCUGCGCCCGGAUGACAGCAGCUCUGCCCGCACCGAGAUCCACCUGCUCUUCGAUCAGCUCAUCUCCGAGAACUACAGCGAGGGCAGUGGCGUGGCCCCGGAGAGACAAGGUCUCUGUCAUCCAGACUGGAGUGCAGCAGCAAGAUCAUAGCUCACUGUGACCUAGAACUCCUGGGCUCAAGCCAUCCUCUCACCUCAGCCUCCCAAGAAGCUAGGACUACACACCACCAUAUCCAGCUAAUUUUUUUAAAAAAGUUUUUUCUGUAGAGAUGGAGUCUCACUAUGUUGCCCAAGCUGGUCUUGGACUCCUGGGCUCAAGCAGUCCUCCUGCUUUGACCUCCCGAAGAACUGGGAUUAGGUGUGAGCCACUGUGCCUGGCUUUUUCCUUCUUUUUUAGCACAUCCUAUUUUUGUGCUAUCACUUCAUUUUUUUCCUUCCUGCCUCACAUUUUCUUUCCCCAUUUUGAAUGUGAAUAUUUACUUUUAUUUUCCCAUUGGGCUGUGUUUUGAGGAUCUUCACUUGACUAAU